GAACACGAGGAGCGAGAACCCUGCCUCUUCUUAACACAGACACACAAAACAACACAAACUCCUCAGCAAUGCCUGGACGGGCCUGAGCGCCUUCGCAGCACAGAUAUCCAAAAUGUGAGGCUGUUUACGCACAUCUCCUCCUCACUGAUUUAUCACCGUGGUGAAGAGUCCGGUGUCUGUCCGUCGCGGUGCAGCUCGCAGUUAAACAUUCCUGCGAUGUGUGAUUUCUUGUGACGGAUCUAUGGAGGUAAAAAAAAAAAAAAAAAAAAAAAAGGCCAAACAACACAGUGUCCGUGGAGGCAGCCGGUCAGGCCCAGUCGGGGUUAUCCGGGCAGGAAUGAACGCCUCGCUUCAGUCAAAUGAAUCCUGUAACAGAGAUCCGUCGGUGCUGAGGAUGUAAGACAUUUCUCCGCAGAGGAAACAUCCCUCCCUGCUCUGUCUUUCAUGUCCCGGUCCUCACAGCUGAAGCAGCGACGUCAUGACGCAGAUGCACGCAGAGCUGCUGCCGUUAAAGCGCGCAGAGACCCAGUUAACGGACUAAACGGUGCGCUGACCGGGGUGCUGAAAACCACAGCAGGAGCUUUCUGCAGCCUCAUCCAGUCACCCUGUUCUCCUGCAAUACUGGGUUUAGUUGGCCUUUUGUGAGGGAGUUCCUCUUUCAAGCGCCAUUUACCAAAAUAACUCAUUUAAAUGCCCAGUUUGCUUUAUUAAGUUGCCCUUUAACACAGGGUGGACCUGGGUAAGAAGCCCUGCAGAGACGAGGUGGAAACCUCAGAGUGAAUCUCAGAACCAUCAAAGAAAAUUGCAGAGAUUUGAGACUCCAGAGAGAGACCAGUUUCCAGUUCUAGAUGCCGUGUCCAGCCCACAAGAUGCAGAACCUGUUGGUGGUGGUAGGACUACUGUGAGCUAAGGAGUCCUCAUAUUUUCACCAUCUACCCUGAGUGCAGUCAGACUGAACUGUACAAACACAUACAGCUCUAGAGACAGAUGGCCUAUCCAUCUCUCUUUAUUGGGAAUCUAUUAUAAAUCUAUUUUUUUCUUUUGUUUUGUUGUUGUUGUGUCUUAAUUUUUAUUAAGGAUGAGUUUUAUUUGGACUUUGUUGAUACCAGUACUGUUAAUUGUAUUUAUUUUUGCUUCUCUCGAUGAUUUAGUGCAUAAAAUAAAGACACAACAAGAAAAGCUGUAAGCUAAUUAAAUUUAUUUUUGCCAGAUGCUGGGCAACUCAA